rnacentral:lncRNA from 1 species
ACAGUUCAGUCAGUUGCAACAACAAUUAAAGCAGCAGGAAACAACCAAGUACACAUGCAAGUGACAAUGAGGAUUGCAAAAGUUUUAAAUAUCAGAAACUGAAGAAGAAAUUGAUAAUUAGCAGAUAACAAAAAAGCGCAAAAGUACUGAUUAUACAACUCUUUUAAAGUUGAGGAAGAAUUUUAUGUGGAAUGUUAAUGCAAAAGGUACAAAUAUUGACAGUUAAACCAUCGCCACCUCCACAGCCACCUUAUCUCAAGCAUUUAAUUGCAUUCUAAGUUAUCUUUAUUCAAAUCAAGUGUGACUACUAUACCAAAAGACUGUAGAAUGGGCCAAUCAACUAACCCAUCAGUACUUGCAAAGUCUUCUUUUCUGUAAGCCCGAAAUUUGAGUUCUAAAAUACCAUUAUCCACACUACUAUUAUAUCAAAGCACAAACUA